rnacentral:lncRNA from 1 species
GUUGCCGCGUUCCGUGUGCCGAGGUUCUGAGGAUAACGAGGUAUCAGAAUAUUGCAAUGCAAUAAUUGCGCUUGUGAUGGACACGUAUCCUGGACUGUACUAACAUUAGCGCGUAACACGGAGAAGGUUCUGGAAGCACGCGAGUUGCCGAUAAAGAAUGUGACGGGCAGCAGUGAUCCGUACAUCAAGGUAUACCUGUUGCCGGACAGAAAUAAGAAGUGCCAGACGAAAGUGCAUCGAAAGAACCUAAAUCCGAUAUUCAACGAGACAUUCAUCUUUAGAAAUUUACGGUUAUUAUAUACGGAACUUAGAAAAGGAGGACAAAAGAAAAUGGAAAAAGAACAACGUUCCAAAAAGCAGAUCAAGUAAUAUGGCUUUUUUUUAUUUCGCGUAUAAUUCUACGUGCAUAACUUUUAACAUGUAAUUUUAGGUGGAUAGAAAAAGUGCACAUUCUGAAUAAAAAUUAAAGAUGGAUAUGAA